rnacentral:tRNA from 1 species
GGGCACGUGGCGAAAUCGGUAAACGCAACGGACUUAAAAUUCGUCGGGUAACCUUGUGGGUUCGAGUCCCACCGUGCCUACCA